rnacentral:tRNA from 1 species
GGGGACGUAGCUCAAUUGGAUAGAGCUCAUGAUUGUCGAUCAUGAGGUUGCGAGUUCGAGUCUCGUCGUCCCCG